AAGUCGUAACAAGGUUUCCGUAGGUGAACCUGCGGAAGGAUCAUUAACACGUGUUCCACGUCAAACAUCCACCCCAUGUGCAUCGUUGUGUCUCUCCCUGUACUGUCACGCCGCAUGACUCGACCAAACUGAUGGGCUAGAGUGGGGUCAUUCACCCCCCAUCAGUGGGACCUGUGCUUUUCCCCCUCAUAGGGGUUGAGCCACGAGUGGAGCGGUAGACUGACAGGCUUCUGUCUGACUGCACCCUGUGCUCCCAGCUCUGCACACGCAGUCGGACACUAUCCCCAUAAUUAUUUUUACCCCUUUCACCCCUUUUUGCUAGUUGAUAUGUUUUCUGUUCUUCUUGUGAGUUUGUUACGAAUUCUACAGGAGUGCACGUUUACUUAGUUGAACGUCGAGUGUACAACUCUUAGCAAUGGAUAUCUCGGUUCUC
rnacentral:misc_RNA from 1 species